UACGUAGGGUGCGAGCGUUGUCCGGAAUUACUGGGCGUAAAGGGCGCGUAGGCGGUCUGGUAAGCGAGUGGUGAAAGCUCGGGGCUCAACCCUGAGUCGGCCAUGCGAACUGCGAGACUGGAGCAGAUCAGAGGCAGGCGGAAUUCCAGGUGUAGCGGUGAAAUGCGUAGAUAUCUGGAGGAAUACCGGUGGCGAAGGCGGGUCUCUGGGCCGAUACUGACGCUGAGGAGCGAAAGCGUGGGGAGCGAACAGG
rnacentral:rRNA from 1 species